AGAGUUUGAUCCUGGCUCAGAAUCAACGCUGGCGGCGUGCCUAACACAUGCAAGUCGAACGAGAAAGUGGAGCAAUCCAGUGAGUAAAGUGGCGCACGGGUGAGUAACACGUGACUAACCUACCCUUGAGUGGGGGAUAACUGGAGGAAACUUCAGCUAAUACCGCAUAACACCUACGGGUCAAAGGAGCAAUUCGCUUAAGGAGGGGGUCGCGGCAGAUUAAUUAGUUGGCGGGGUAAUGGCCCACCAAGACGAUGAUCUGUAUCCGGCCUGAGAGGGCGCACGGACACACUGGAACUGAAACACGGUCCAGACUCCUACGGGAGGCAGCAGUGGGGAAUUUUGCGCAAUGGGGGAAACCCUGACGCAGCAACGCCGCGUGGAGGAUGAAGUCCUUCGGGACGUAAACUCCUUUCGAUCGGGACGAUUAUGACGGUACCGGAAGAAGAAGCCCCGGCUAACUUCGUGCCAGCAGCCGCGGUAAUACGAGGGGGGCGAGCGUUGUUCGGAAUUAUUGGGCGUAAAGGGUGCGUAGGCGGUUUUGUAAGUCUUAUGUGAAAUCUAUGGGCUCAACUCAUAGACUGCAUGAGAAACUGCAGGGCUUGAGUAUGGGAGAGGUGAGUGGAAUUCCUGGUGUAGCGGUGAAAUGCGUAGAUAUCAGGAGGAACACCUGUGGCGAAAGCGGCUCACUGGACCAUAACUGACGCUGAUGCACGAAAGCUAGGGGAGCAAACAGGAUUAGAUACCCUGGUAGUCCUAGUCCCUAACCGAUGACUGCUUGGUGUGAC
rnacentral:rRNA from 1 species